GACGAACGCUGGCGGCGUGCCUAAUACAUGCAAGUAGAACGCAGAAGAGAGGAGCUUGCUCUUCUUGGAAGAGUUGCGAACGGGUGAGUAACGCGUAGGUAACCUGCCUUGUAGCGGGGGAUAACUAUUGGAAACGAUAGCUAAUACCGCAUAACAAUGGAUGACCCAUGUCAUUUAUUUGAAAGGGGCAACUGCUCCACUACAAGAUGGACCUGCGUUGUAUUAGCUAGUAGGUGAGGUAACGGCUCACCUAGGCGACGAUACAUAGCCGACCUGAGAGGGUGAUCGGCCACACUGGGACUGAGACACGGCCCAGACUCCUACGGGAGGCAGCAGUAGGGAAUCUUCGGCAAUGGGGGCAACCCUGACCGAGCAACGCCGCGUGAGUGAAGAAGGUUUUCGGAUCGUAAAGCUCUGUUGUAAGUCAAGAACGAGUGUGAGAGUGGAAAGUUCACACUGUGACGGUAGCUUACCAGAAAGGGACGGCUAACUACGUGCCAGCAGCCGCAGUAA
rnacentral:rRNA from 1 species